AUGAUAAAUUCAGUGAGUAAGAAAUUGCUCCUUUCCCUUUCUCUGCUUCUUUUCCUUUCUUUGCUUGGAGGGCGCUGCUGCUCUUCUUUCUCUUUCUCUGCUUCGAAGGUGGUGCCGCUUGGAGGGUACUGCUGCUUGGAGGAUGUUGCUGGUCGUCUUUCCCUUUCUCUGCUUCUUUCCCUUUCUUUGCUUGGAGGGUGCUGCUGCCCUUCUUUCUCUUUCUCUGCUUCGAAGGUGGUGGUGCUGCUGCUACUGCUUGUAGGGUACUGCUGCUUGGAGGAUGUUGCUGGUCUUCUUUCCCUUUCUCUGCUUGGAGGGUGCUGCUGCUCCUCUUUCUCUUUCUCCGCUUCAAAGGUGCUGCUGCUGCUGCCUCGAGGUCUGCUGCUGCUAUAA
rnacentral:rRNA from 1 species